rnacentral:rRNA from 1 species
UACAGAGGUCUCAAGCGUUGUUCGGAUUCAUUGGGCGUAAAGGGUGUGUAGGUGGCGCCGUAAGUCGGGUGUGAAAUUCGGAGCUUAACUCCGAAACUGCAUUCGAUACUGCGGUGCUUGAGGACUGGAGAGGAGACUGGAAUUCAUGGUGUAGCAGUGAAAUGCGUAGAGAUCAUGAGGAAGACCAGUGGCGAAGGCGGGUCUCUGGACAGUUCCUGACACUGAGACACGAAGGCCAGGGAGCAAACGGG